GAUGAACGCUAGCUACAGGCUUAACACAUGCAAGUCGAGGGACCGGCGCACGUGUGAUUACCACGUAUCCAACCUGCCCUUUACUCUGGCAUAUCCUUUCGGUAGAUACUUUAAUACCAGAUGUAAAGGCUGGGGAUGCGUUCCAUUAGGUUGUUGGAGAGGUAACGGGUCACCAAGCCGUCGAUGGAUAGGGGUUCUGAGAGGAAGGUCCACGCGAUUGGAACUGAGACACGGUCCAAACUCCGACGGGAGGCAGGAGUUAGGAAUAUUGGGCAAUGGGCGUUAGUCUGAACCAGCCAAGUAGCGUGAAGGAUGAAGGCUUAUGGGUCGAAAACUUCUUUUAUAUAAGAAUAUGUAUUAGAUGAAUAAGGAUCGGCUAACUCCGUGCCAGCAGCCGCGGUAAUAC
rnacentral:rRNA from 1 species